GAGUCAGUAAAAUCAAAUCCUCUAAUUAUUAUGUCCAUAGAAUGAUACAAUUAUGGUGAUAACUUGUUCAUAGCCUCCCAUUAAGGUGCAUGAUAAUGACUCCAAUAUUCUAAAUAGGCAUUAGAGGUACCACACGCUUGGUGUCUAUUAUGUAUUAGAAUUAUCAUUCAUCAUAUAAUCAUCUUGUUGUGCCUUCAGAUCAAUGCUCAGGUUGGUCGAGCCACACUCGGACCUAGACAUCUAUUUGUUGGAUGCACUUGAUAUUGUCAUGUUAAUGGUUGGACCUAAUUAGGAUUUUUAGUGGAGGCACCACACACCUACUGAAGGGAUGUCUGGGGCAAAACUUAAUUGCUAGAAGUUGUUAGGAGAAAUAAUUGGUUAUGAACCUAUCUAUGGAUGCACCAGGGUUGGCUGAGCCA
rnacentral:lncRNA from 1 species